GACGAACGCUGGCGGCGUGCUUAACACAUGCAAGUCGAACGGAAAGGCCCUGCUUUUGUGGGGUGCUCGAGUGGCGAACGGGUGAGUAACACGUGAGUAACCUGCCCUUGACUUUGGGAUAACUUCAGGAAACUGGGGCUAAUACCGGACAGGAGCUCCCCCUGCAUGGGGGGGGGUGGAAAGUUUCGGCGGUUGGGGAUGGACGAGCGGGUGAUCAGCUUGUUGGUGGGGUAGUGGCUUACCAAGGCUUUCACGGGUCGCCGGCCUGUGAGGGGGACCGGCCACAAUGGGACUGAGAUACGGCCCAGACUCCUACGGGAGGCAGCAGGGGGGAAUAUUGCACAAUGGGCGGAAGCCGGAUGCAGCGACGCCGCGGGCGGGAUGACGGCCUUCGGGUUGUAAACCGCUGUCGCUUGUGACGAAGCGGGAGUGACGGUAACGGGUAAAGAAGCACCGGCUAACUACGUG
rnacentral:rRNA from 1 species